CCGCUCCGCACAUUCCCACCGCUCCCUCGCCCCCAGAUCUCGCGCACGCCAGCACCAGCCAUGCGCGGGCAGAGCCCCCGCCCCCGGAUCCAUGGAUGACCGGCGUGGAUGGCGCCUCCGCUUGAUGUCUCCUCCAUCGAUCCCGUCUCGGCAUUGAAACUGUCGCAGCCCACGAUGCACUCCACCCCCGGCCGAUGCUUCCCCGCCCAGCCGCCUGCGCCCGCGGCUACAUCAUCCAGCCUGCCGCGUUCGCUACCGACGAUGCACUCCACCCACCUCCGCCGCCCGCCAUGGCCUCCACCCAACUCACGUGCAGCAGGUUCCAACUCCCAAGAUCUAGGUCGGACACCGGCGCACACCACGUCAGCGACGCCAAGCACCACUCGUUCGACCUCGGCAAGCACCUGCCUCUCCGUCAUCGCCCCACCCCCCCCCCCCCCCCCCCCCCCCCCUCCGCUCUCUAUCGCUUGCUCUAGCCGAUCUAUGUGCAUGGGGCUCAACGACUGGAACAAAUCCUCGUCGAUGCUCAGGGAUGGUUUUAGGGUAGAUGGAGCAUCCCCUACAUGUGUCUUCCAUGGGAUGGCCCAACUGCAGAUCUGUUCCUGGGAUACUACACAAUGACUACAUUGCAUACUCGGAGCUGCUCGACAGGAGCGUCGUCGGCGGUGCUGUAAACAUCUCCUAGAGUCCUCGGGCACAAGAAGGUCAGGCGGUGAUGCCAAUGCAGAUCAUCCAAUCAGAUCCAGAAUGCCUGCCACUGUAUACUUGGAGCUGCUCGACAGGAGCGCCGUUGGCGGCAUUGCAAACAUCUCCUAUAGUCCUCGGGCACAACAAGGUCAGCCAAUGACGCCAACGCAGAUCAUCCCAUCGGAUCCGGUAUUCUUGACGAAAAUCCCUGAAGAUGGGAAACCCACGCUGCUGGUGCAAACACCGCCGGUGAUGCCAGUGUAGGCCCCAUUGCCCUUGGACGGGAUGUCACUGACUACAAUGGAGUACCUUUCUUUCUUCGAUGUCAGUCGAUUAUGUUUACUAUGGAAUAUGGAUGUUCUCUUAUAUGCUUGGUUGUAGCUCCUGACAUGCAGUUGUAGCUUGGCUCGAGGCGGGCAUCAGCGACGACAAACAUCCUGCUCAAUUUGUUGUAUGAUAAAUACUGCGAAACAAUGCUGGUGUUUCAUAAGAUGACCGUGCAGCUCAUGAAAAUCCAGAGGGUGGAGUCGAGCGAGACGACGUGGCCGGCGCGGCGCCAGGUCGUGGCGUGCGCCGCUGUUUGCUGGUCGUGGCGUGAGGUCACCAAGGAGGUGGUGAAGACGCUCAAGGAGUGCGGCAGGAUCACCUUCCCCAUGUCCCUUAAGCAGGUUGGCACUCUCUGCCUUUUCUCUACUUUGAUGAUCAAUCACAUGUCUUCACCUUUGCAGAGGCUUAUGAUUUUGAAGAUCUAGAAUCUAUGGUUGAAGAAAUAGCCAAAGCAUUCAAGACAAAGAUAAUGUUUAUAUAUGUUGACACUGCUGAAGAAAACCUUGCAAAAACCAUUCCUCACUCUUUAUGGCAUUGAAUCAGAAAAGGCCUACUGGUCCAGUUCUUGAAAGGGUGGGAAUGUGUCCAAGAAGACAAAGGCAUCGACCCGCCAAUUCUUCGCUACAAAUUAAAACAGCACUAGGGUGAGAUCAGUGGGCUUGAGAGUAGCAUCAUCCUUCAAACAUGAUGAUGGGUUUCUAGCUGAUGGUGUCUCUAUAGCUCACUGGUAUCCUUCAAAAAGAAACUUCCUGGAAAAAAUGUCUUUUGAAGCUAAUCUUGCUCCAUACAGCUAAUCUUCACAUCUUUCAAAGCAUUUGCUAGGGCCCUUCGGUGAGCAAUAGAAUACGACUUGCGCUACCAAAGCGUCCAUAGCUGAAUGCAAACCAUUGAGAUGGUCCAGGUUGAGGACCUCCAUGACACCUAUGUUGGUGUGGGUUGUGCCGCCCCAUCGUGACCGUCAUCGAUUGGGCCUCCGAGUCCAGGAGAAGACCUCCGAUGAAGAAAGAGACAUGCUGCACAUGCACGAGGGUACUUGCAGAUAGAUGUCGGCUCUAUGGACGAACACUCGACCAAGUCAGAUGAGGAGUAUGAGGGCCUAGCCAUGCGAGACAUGAUGGCUACCGGUCCAACAAUGAGCAGCAAGCUGUGAGUUAAAGAUGAACUCACCUGUCCUGGAGAGCAACAUCCAUAGGAGUGAGGCAAAAUGGCGGGUACCACCACAACAUGGACCCGUUCCUGAAGAUGUCCAAGGAGGUGGUAGCCGACACCAUAAUGUCUUGCGCGUCAUUGUGUCACCGGCCGGCAACACGCUGCGCUGGUACCGGCGGGUGUUAUGUUUCUUAGGCGUAUGUUUCUGUGCUUUGAGCUGUGCUAUAGACUGGUUGUGCCAACUACUGAUUUUAAAAGAAAAAGGUGAGCUGAAAAUCAUUGUUGAAAACAAACAUGUAACGGUUCGUUCUCAUCAGUUGUGCCAACUACCAAUCAUUUCAUUGAUCAGAA